AUGCUCACCGGCAGCACAUAUACUAAAAUUGGAACGAUACAAAGAAGAUUAGCAAAACCCCUGUACAAGGAUGAUACACAAAUUCAUGAAGCAUUUUAUAUUGUU
ensembl:snRNA U6 U6 spliceosomal RNA